CCAGGUAGCUCAGUCGGUAGAGCAGGGGACUGAAAAUCCCCGUGUCGGUGGUUCAAUUCCACCCCUGGC
rnacentral:tRNA from 1 species